rnacentral:rRNA from 1 species
CCUACGGGAGGCAGCAGUGGGGAAUUUUGGACAAUGGGCGCAAGCCUGAUCCAGCCAUGCCGCGUGAGUGAAGAAGGCCUUCGGGUUGUAAAGCUCUUUCAGACGGAAAGAAAUCGCGCGGGUCAAUAGCCUGCGUGGAUGACGGUACUGUCAGAAGAAGCACCGGCUAACUACGUGCCAGCAGCCGCGGUAAUACGUAGGGUGCGAGCGUUAAUCGGAAUUACUGGGCGUAAAGCGUGCGCAGGCGGUUGUGUAAGACAGGUGUGAAAUCCCCGGGCUUAACCUGGGAACUGCGCUUGUGACUGCACGGCUAGAGUACGGCAGAGGGGGGUGGAAUUCCACGUGUAGCAGUGAAAUGCGUAGAUAUGUGGAGGAACACCGAUGGCGAAGGCAGCCCCCUGGGCCGAUACUGACGCUCAUGCACGAAAGCGUGGGGAGC